rnacentral:rRNA from 1 species
CGCAAGCCUGACGGAGCAACGCCGCGUGAGGGAGGAAUGCCUGUGGGUUGUAAACCUCUUUUCUCAGGGAAGAACACAAUGACGGUACCUGAGGAAUCAGCAUCGGCUAACUCCGUGCCAGCAGCCGCGGUAAGACGGAGGAUGCAAGCGUUAUCCGGAAUUAUUGGGCGUAAAGCGUCCGUAGGUGGUUACAAAAGUCAGUUGUUAAAGCCCACAGCUCAACUGUGGAUCGGCAAUUGAAACUAUGUGACUUGAGUGUGGUAGGGGUAGAGGAAAUUCCUAGUGUAGCGGUGAAAUGCGUAGAUAUUAGGAAGAACACCAGUGGCGAAGGCGCUCUACUGGGCCAUAACUGACACUGAUGGACGAAAGC